CACACAACAUAUCUUUCCUCUCUUGCAUGGUGCAACAAAUGAGUGACGGAGAAAAUUUAGAAAAUAUUAAUCAUGAAAUGUGCAGUUUCCAUUUCCAUUUCCAGCGCUUAUAACAACUUUAAUAUGUUGUAAUCAUUUAUUUUGAUAUUUAAGGAUUGGAUAACAAAAUAUGCGCCAGACGAAGCUUUUGAAAGUGAAAAUUAAUAGUUAUUGUGAAAAUGCAGAUUUCACUAAAAUAUGAACAGUAUUUUGGAGAUAUAGGUGGCACACCAAGAGGGUAAAAAUGGCCGUUCGUCUCUACCAUAGACGGUCCUCGGCUACUAGGGAAAAAAUCCAAUCACAGCAGAAUGGUCUUUCACCAGGAACAGCUUUACGGCUGCAAGCUCUAGGAGCUUGCGGUCCUAGAAACUCUCUGGGACUGAACAGACCACGAUCUCAGUCGCUCUUUCCAGGCAGCCCUCACUGUCUCAGUGUCCCACCUAGAUCUCGUUCUCUGUCCUUCAGUGGUGCUUCUAGACCAGCAGAAAACACGCUUACAGAAUCAGAAGAAGACCACAUAUUCCAGUGUUAUACGCGUGUUAUGUACAUAUUGUUGGGUGGACUAGCAGCAAUGGUCUUAGGUUUCGUCUGGUAUGGAAUACGAAAUUUUGCAACACUUUAAAAAAAAUUGAUGGGAAAAAAUGUUACAAUUCGACUUUUUGAGACAGCAAACUGGCUGUCUUUGAAACAGAAGUAAUUACCAGUAUGUAUAUAUGUAACAACAUUUAGUAAGCUGAAAUGCUCAAGUUAAGAAAUGAUGGUAGCAAUACUUGCCGUUAAAAGAAAAUUCUGUUUUUAUGGAUAUUAGCAACAGACUAAUUGAAGGAGAUAUUAUUUACUUAAAAAUGAAAAAAUGAUGAACUGCCAUGUUACGGUAUUAAUCAAAAUAUUACAUCCCCUCGGAGUGUUAGUACAACUAUAAAUUACUAUCAUAAGAUAAUUUUUUUUUACAAAUUGCUAUGCAUAAUAUUUUUCUUAUUCAUUAAUGACAAAAUUUCGAGAAUGUAAAAUAAUUUAAAAAAAAAAAAGGCUAACAGCAAUUUCUAGCAGAAUGAUUCAAAAUGGUUAUUUUAAUAUAUCUUUAGUUUUAAUGACUCUAUUCAGAGUUUUCAACAGAUACUUUAAAUUCAAGAUAGAGUGGGUGAUAUUAAAUGAUUCAUUUUGCAUGACUCAAAUAUCCUUGCCUCACAGACGGUCAUGGGAUAAGAAAAUCUUUCUUUUAAUCUACAUAUUAUAUGCAAUAAAAAGAAUUGCAAAUUUUGUGUUUGACUGACAAAUAUUUUGACAAUACCCGAGAGAGAUAAAUAAAUGCAAGUUCAAAAACAUUAAUAAGAAUAACAAAAGAAAAACCAUCUGCUUUUCAGAAUUUAUAGAGUAAACUAAUGAACAGAUUUAAUCAAUUUUAUACACUGCCGAAAGAUAUUGGAAAAGAAAAUUUAGUGCCAGUGAAACAAUUAGUAAAUAUUAAAAACCAAAAUUCAUCCAAGCAUGUUUAUUGAAGAAUGUUUCCCGCUAUUAUGAUAUAUGCCUACAAUAUGCUUAGGGCCUAAAAAUAAACAACUUAUAUUUAGAUACCCUGAUUUCCUUUUCCAGAUCAAUUUUAUUUCCGUCAUUCCUUUCAAUUGAGAUGAGAAAUGAUAAAUGGCUAAUUUGCUCCAGAAAAUACGAUUUUUUACAAAUGUUUACUGUGGAUAAUAUGGCACAGGAAGGAAAAAUAAAUGCUAUUUCCCAGAAUAUAGAUUAUUUUAUCAAAUUUCUAUCACUAAAUGUAUGCUAAGAAUUGCAACACAUUUAAAGCCACAAUAAAGUACCCCAAUUUAUUUUUUUGAUUUGCUCUUGCCAUUAACUUAAAAGUCAAAUAAGUAUUCAUCAGAAUGAAUGUUAUGUCUUUUAGACAAAAAAUAAUAAUUUUAUUGAUACAUCGUAUAUUUUUUUUACAAUAGAUAAUAUAUCUUAAUACUUGAAAGAUAUUAUAUAUAUAUUAAAAAAGGAGAAACAGAAGUUUCAUUUUAUAACUUGUGACCAAUAAAGAAAUUUUAGUAAUCUAAUUAUUUUACAUAUAAUUGAGCAAAAAUUUUUUAUAUUUAAAGAUAUUUUUUAGAACCGUGUAAAACAAACAUGAAUAGUUUGUUCAAAUUUAAAUUAGAAAAAUGCAGCCAAGUAAAUAAUCUUGAUUAUUUUUUCCCAAUCAUUUGUAAAACAAUUUUAUUUUUUAUCAAAUCUUAACUUCAUGCUUUUCAUUCUCCUUUCUUUUUUUUUUUUUGUAUUGAAAGUAUCUAAUAUAUAGUGUUAUUAGCUCGAAAUACUACAAAUCAUCAAUUAUUAAUUUAGGCAGGAAAUGCUUAUUUUCUUACAGAUUGGAGCAAAAUUGUUCAGAAAAUGUUUAUAUGAUGAAAUAAUAUACCAUUAAUUUUAUUUUGGUGCUCUGUUUUAUUCUGCUUAUUUUUUAAAAAUGAAUCCAUUAGGCCUUUUGGUUUGCACUUAUAUUAAUGGCCUUUUCACUGUUAUGAAUUGUAAAGAAAUGUAUAUAUUUAAAAUAGAUAAAUAAAAAAUAACAGUUAAAUUUAAAGACCAACAAUUUAUUUUCUUUGCUGUAAAGCAAAUUGUAUAUAGUAUAUAUUUUCUUUUUUCAUAUAUUGUUUUCAAUGUGUUAUGGUUGUAUUUGUUAAUUAUUUGUUGUU